rnacentral:rRNA from 1 species
AUUCAGUGAAUCAUCSAAUCUUUGAACGCACAUUGCGCCCCUUGGUAUCCCGAGGGGCAUGCCUGUUCGAGCGUCAUU